GGGUUGUGAGGUUAAGCGACUAAGCGUACACGGUGGAUGCCCUGGCAGUCAGAGGCGAUGAAGGACGUGCUAAUCUGCGAUAAGCGUCGGUAAGGUGAUAUGAACCGUUAUAACCGGCGAUUUCCGAAUGGGGAAACCCAGUGUGUUUCGACACACUAUCAUUAACUGAAUCCAUAGGUUAAUGAGGCGAACCGGGGGAACUGAAACAUCUAAGUACCCCGAGGAAAAGAAAUCAACCGAGAUUCCCCCAGUAGCGGCGAGCGAACGGGGAGCAGCCCAGAGCCUGAAUCAGUGUGUGUGUUAGUGGAAGCGUCUGGAAAGGCGCGCGAUACAGGGUGACAGCCCCGUACACAAAAAUGCACAUGCUGUGAGCUCGAUGAGUAGGGCGGGACACGUGGUAUCCUGUCUGAAUAUGGGGGGACCAUCCUCCAAGGCUAAAUACUCCUGACUGACCGAUAGUGAACCAGUACCGUGAGGGAAAGGCGAAAAGAACCCCGGCGAGGGGAGUGAAAAAGAACCUGAAACCGUGUACGUACAAGCAGUGGGAGCCUCUUUAUGGGGUGACUGCGUACCUUUUGUAUAAUGGGUCAGCGACUUAUAUUCUGUAGCAAGGUUAACCGAAUAGGGGAGCCGAAGGGAAACCGAGUCUUAACUGGGCGUUAAGUUGCAGGGUAUAGACCCGAAACCCGGUGAUCUAGCCAUGGGCAGGUUGAAGGUUGGGUAACACUAACUGGAGGACCGAACCGACUAAUGUUGAAAAAUUAGCGGAUGACUUGUGGCUGGGGGUGAAAGGCCAAUCAAACCGGGAGAUAGCUGGUUCUCCCCGAAAGCUAUUUAGGUAGCGCCUCGUGAAUUCAUCUCCGGGGGUAGAGCACUGUUUCGGCAAGGGGGUCAUCCCGACUUACCAACCCGAUGCAAACUG
rnacentral:rRNA from 1 species